GCCUCAGCUUCCCCACAGGUAAAAUGGGCGGGUAAAAUGGGCGGCAGGACACAGCACUGGGCCUCAGCUUCUCCGCGGGUAAAAUGGGCGGCAGGACACAGCACUGGGCCUCAGCUUCUCCGCGGGUAAAAUGGGCGGCAGGACACAGCACUGGGCCUCAGCUUCCCCACGGAUAACAUAGGCGGCAGGAUACGGCGCCGGGCCUCAGCUUCCCCACAGAUGAGGAAACUGCUUAGGUAAUCAAAGGGACCAAAGAAAAGUCACACAUCAAGUAGGGAACAGAACGGAGCUGAAACAACACAACCUCUGACCGCUCUCACUCAGUCGCUCAGACUAAAGUGCUGUGGCGCCAUGCCAUCUCAGCUCACUGCAACCUCCACCUCCAGGACUCAAGUGAUCUUCCCACCUCAGCCUCCUGAGUAGCUGCGACUACAGGACAUGUGAAAAGCCAAAAAUAAGUCUCAGUGAAGAUUUCAAUACAUGGAAAUUCAUAUCUUUUUUAUUGGAUAAGAAGACUCAAUGCAAUAAAGACAUACAUUUUUUCCUGAAUUAGUCUGUACAUUCAGUAUGAUCUCAAUGUGGGAUAUAUUUUACCUUGGACAAAAAGAGUGAUUCUAAAGUUUAUCCAGAAGAAUAAACAUCUUACAACCACCAGAAAAACUCUGAAAAAGAGUGGCAUUGAGAAACUUGUCUUGCUGAGUAUUAAAAAUGUAUAAGAUGAUGACAGUUCAGUAAAGCAGUGUGGUUUGAAAAAGGAAUCAAAAGAUAGCUCAAAGAGAUGAACUGAGAUUAUAGGAAGGGACACAAGUAUGCAGAUAUUUUAGAACGUAAUAUAGUGGUCAUUUCUAAUAAGGGAGAAUAUGGAAAUGGAACAGCUGAAUCACCAUUUGGGAAACAUAAAACUGGAAGCCAGCCCAUUUCUUACCGCAAAGUAAAUUCCUGAAAGAACAAAGGGUUACAUGAAAAGAAAAAAAAAUGCUAAGAGCAAAUAUGGGAGAAUAUUUAUGUAAUCAUAAGUUGGGGUUGCUUGACCAUUCUAAACAUAGGAGGAUCAGAAAACACAAAAUAAGACAUAAAUUUAACAACAUACACAUUUACAACAUCUCUGAAUGGCUUUAACCUUGAUAAGCAAAACUAAAGACAACAACAGUUCCAUAAUUCUGAUCACAAAAGCUAAUAUUCACCAUAUACAAAGUGCUCUAACAAAUCAAUAAGAAAAGUUAACAUAUGAAGAGGAACAUUGAUGAAGGAUAGGAACAGAUGUUUCAUAAAAGAAUACAUGCAAAAGGCUAAUAGGCACGUUCAAGGUCAUUAUCAAUCAAAUAAAAAUUAAAUAUCAUUUUUUACCUAUCAGAUUGAACAAGAAUUAAAAUGUAGUUGGAAACCAGUCAUAGUAAGCAUUUAGGAAAAUGGGCAUUUUCACGCAGUCUUGGAGGGAAAGUAAAGUGAGCAUCAUUUCCAGAAGGUAGUUUGACAUUAUUGUAUAAAAAUGUAAAAUGUUCAUGCCUUUGAACCCAGCAAUACAAUUUGGGGAAUUUAUUCUAAGGAGAUCAUUUCAGAAGUGGGAAAAAUGCAUGCCUGAGAAAACUUUCUAUUCCCACCAGUGAGUGACUAAGAAAAAUGCAGUAUGUGCUUGAAUAAGUGCUCUGCAGAAAUUAAACACGAUGGUGAAAUAUACUGAUUGAUUGGUAAUAUUACCUUUGACAUUUUCAUUAAGCAAAAAAGGCAGGUGCCAGCAUAUAAUGUGAUGUCAAUUACAUAAAAUUAUACACAUGUAUCUUUAUUUGUAUGUAUAUAUGUCAAAGGAUUUUUCACUCUAGCUCUUUCCUAAAACCAUCGUAGCCCCCAAAGUUUGCAUGGUUCAUUCUAUCUCAUUGUCGAGAAGAUUGUCUCAAAAUAGACAACAACUGGAGCUCUUUUAGCACAUGGUAGUCAUUAUCAGCAUCUGAAAGUACCUGUGUGUUUCUUCAUUUUCUCAAUGACUGCUGUGCAGCCUCUCCCAUGAGAAGCGACACCAUGGAGGUCAGGGCUGGCUGGUCCACCUGCAGAGCCUAGCACGGACCUGGCCCAAAGUCCCUGCUUGGUAAAUACCUGCUGGAUGAAUGCACAGUGUUGUGAGACCAGUGUUUUUCACAGCACACUCUCUAGAAGAAAUGCCAACCUGUGUUAUGGACUAAGGUGUCCCACGGGCAAGUAGGUUUUGGAAACAUGGCAUCGGAUCAAGCCAAUCCAAGGGUUUAUUUGGUGCAGAACUUUUCAGAGCCUUUAAUACCCAAAUGCACAUUGUGACUGUCCAAGAGUUUCCCAGCUCUCUUGACUGCAGAAGUCCCUCUAUCUUCAGCCCCUUGGAGCGUCUUGUGUCAUGGGACAGUGUGGGAUGGACUAUGUUCAGAAGAAUAUUCAGCAAUGCAUUAAAUUGGGGGCCGAGAUUAGAGCUGAUCUCCAAUUUGUCAUUGUACUGUCUGUGUUGUUUGAAGUGUUGACACUGAGUGAGCACAUAUCAUUUCAUAAAUAUAUCAGUUUUUCAAGAUAAAAGAAUAAACAUUAAAAAUGCA